UGGUCUUGAACUCCUGACCUCAGGUGAUCCGCCCACCUCGGCCUCCCAAAGUGCUGGGAUUACAGAUGUAAUCCCACGGUGCCCAGCCUCUCACUGUUGAAGACUUUUUUAAAAACUGAACUAUGACAUAUAGGUAGAGAAGUACACACAUCACAGCUUGAUGAAAUGUCUACAGACUGAAUGCAUCCAGCUCCCAGAUGAAGAAAUGAAACAUUCCCAAGUCCUCGGAACCCCUGCUUGCUUCCUCCAGCCUCCGCUGGCCCCGAGGGUCACUGCUACCCUGACUGACACCAUGGAUUUGCUGGAUCUGUUUGUGCUUCAGGUUCAAGGACUCCUACAGCCAAGGCUUGUUUGGGGGCUCAGAGCUGAUUUGCAGCCCAUCUUGAUGUGCCUCAUGGCUACUGAUCUCAUCCCUGCAUUCUUCUCCUCCUGCUUCCACCAGCUUUAUUAAGGCUCACUGUUCUGAGGUCAUUCUGAGGAUUUCUUCUGGGCUUGCAUAGCUGGGACUUCCUGUACCACCAGUUCAAUUCUGCCUAGAGCUGAGGACCAUGCCAGAUAAGCAAGUCCCACAACCAGCCACUGCUCAGGACAGGAUGCUGAAAGUGAUGCUGGGCGGCCAGCCAGACUCUGGAUCCCUAGGGCUCUGCCAGAGGUAGUGGAGGUCAAGGUCUGCCUCAUCUGAGACCCUUCUCACCGGCCGGGAAUGACCCCGUACCUACUCUCUGGCCUCCUCUGGGGGCCUUGCUCUUGGCGCUGGAUCCCUGUGCUCUGUCCCCUGACCUUGGAGGAAUUGCCCUCCUGCGUGUAUGGAAUGACCACAGGCCUCCCUCUCACUCUUGCUGCCCUCCGCUCCUCACACCUGCCCUGUGGCCUCAAGUUCAGGAUUCAGUUUGUUGCCCAGGACAGAGUCUGGUUUUUCUCCAGAAAUUAGAUGCAGAAUCAGGCCUAACCAGCUUCUCAAACUCACAGACUUGGUCAGCAAACAUUCCCAAGCCUCAAAGGCUGAGACCCCUGGAGGAACGAUGCCAGCAGAGACAAAACGACAUUGAGAGGUAAGUCAAUUAAAAUGUUAAAAAACAUCAGAUUAGGCUGAGCGCAGUGGCUCGUGUGUGUAAUUCCAGCACUUUG
rnacentral:lncRNA from 1 species